GGAGAGAAUGAGUUGGAUUGCUGGACUUCAAUGUGUGUGGGUUGAGUUUGUGACUUAAAAAUGAAACCAGUCUAUUGCUUGUGUGGCUUUUCCAAAAUACUGUUACUCCAUUACCUAUCUCUUACCCCAAGAGUAGUCACAUUCUUAUUUCUGGUUAUUUUAAUUCCUGGUAUUUGUAUGUGAUUAAUGAGAUAGUACUUGUUAAUUUGAUGAUAUUCUAGAAACCUGGAAAGUACUAUGUACCUUGUCUUAAGUUUUGGUUACUUGAUUGGUAAAAUUAUGCAUGCACCAUUGAAUUACCUAAUUCAAAAUAUAUUCUUUUAUUGUUUGACAUUUGUCUUGUUUUUCUUUAAAAUGUUAUCUUUGUGGAGUAAACAUUUUUCUUUAUGCUGUUUAACAUCUUCAUCAGAUUAGUUCAGGGUAUUCCUGAAUGUGGUUGUUUGGAAGUAAAAUGCUUUAGUUUUAGUUAUAUAGAUUUUAAUAAGAUACUACUAUGCAUUUAUCGAUUGCUUAUGUUUCUCCUUGCAUUCUUUGGCCUACUGGUUUUGGUUGUUUAUAGCUAUAGAAUAUAGAAUUCCUUAUGGUUAUCCAUUUCUCCUUUUAAGUAGAGUGAUAGUUGUUAGAAGAAAAAUAACCCCCCAAUACUUUCUUCUAGUGUUAAUUCUUAAAGUGCGAUUGACUUUUAUUUACUUUUUGGUGCAGU
rnacentral:lncRNA from 1 species